GGCUCAGGAUGAACGCUAGCUACAGGCUUAACACAUGGCAAGUCGAGGGGAAACGACAUUGGAAGCUUGCUUCCGAUGGGCGUCGACCGGCGCACGGGUGAGUAACGCGUAUCCAACCUGCCCACACUUGGAGAUAACCUUGCGAAAGUAAGACUAAUACCCAAUGACGUCUCUAGAAGACAUCUGAAAGAGAUUAAAGAUUUAUCGGUGAUGGAUGGGGAUGCGUCUGAUUAGCUUGUUGGCGGGGUAACGGCCCACCAAGGCGACGAUCAGUAGGGGUUCUGAGAGGAAGGUCCCCCACAUUGGAACUGAGACACGGUCCAAACUCCUACGGGAGGCAGCAGUGAGGAAUAUUGGUCAAUGGGCGAGAGCCUGAACCAGCCAAGUAGCGUGCAGGAUGACGGCCCUAUGGGUUGUAAACUGCUUUUAUAAGGGAAUAAAGUGAGCCUCGUGAGGCUUUUUGCAUGUACCUUAUGAAUAAGGACCGGCUAAUUCCGUG
rnacentral:rRNA from 1 species